ensembl:lncRNA
CGUCCGGUUCCCAGCCCGACGCGCGCGCGGGGCUGCUUUCACAGGUGGUGGAGGAACCGCGUAAAAGACAAGGAAACUGAGGAAUGGAUCGCACAGCUAGCGAGCGAGGUAAGAGCUGGCAUCUGGAAGUCCGCCGCAGAGACCACGCGCAUAAUCACUGUGCCGUGGGCACGUUUUGUCCACGGGAUGACUCCAGACCUUACAUCCUGCUGCUUCCUUGGCAUGGACACUCGGAUGUCUGAUAAAUAGGCCUCUCAGAACACAGCCUUUCCUCCGCCAACCUGCUCUUCCCCUGCUCAAUGCGUCUAGAAUCAGAUCACUUCUUAUCACCUCCAGUGAUGCCAUCAUUAUCACUGACCCACAAGAGCACAGCAGUCUCCCUGAUUCUGCCAUUGGCCCCUCCAGCCUGGUCUCAACACACCAGCCAGGACGUCAAAGAACAAACGUUUUUAAUUUUGAUGAAGUCCAAUAUAUUGAUUGAUUUCUUUUGUAGUUUGUGCUUUUUAUGCCCUAUUUUUAAGAUCUUUGCCCAACUCAAAGACGUUAAGAUUUUCUCCUGUUUUCUUCCAGAAGUUUAAUAGUUAUAGCUCUUGCAUUUAGAUCUAUGAUUCAUUUUGAGUUAAUUUUUUUUUAAAGAUUUUUUUUUUUCCCUUUUCUCCCCAAAGCCCCCAGUACAUAGUUGUAUGUUCUUCAUUGUGGGUCCUUCUAGUUGUGGCAUGUGGGAUGCCGCCUCAGCGUGGCUUGAUGAGCAGUGCCAUGUCCACGCCCAGGAUUCGAACCAACAAAACACUGGGCCGCCUGCAGCAGAGCGCGAACUUAACCACUCAGCCACAGGGCCAGCCCCUUUUUUGAGUUAAUUUUUGUGUAUGAUGUGAGGUACGAGUCAAGGUUUAUUUGUUUAUUGCAUAUGGCUAUCUAAUUGUUCCAUCUUCAUUUGUGGAAAAGAUUAUCUUUUUCCGCCUAAUUGCUUUGUCCCCUUUGUUAAAAAUCAAUUGACCACAUGUGUAGGUCUGUUUCUAUACUCAAAACUACACUGUCUUGAUUACUGCAGCUUUUUAGUGUCUUGAAAUAGGGUAAUGUAAGUCGUCCAACUUUGUUCUUUUUCAAAAUUGUUUCAGCUAUUCAGAAUCCUUUGCAUUUCCAUAUAAAUUUUAGUAUCACCUAAUUUGUAUCUUUUAAAAAGCCUACUGGGAUUUGGUUGGUAUUGCAUUGAUUCUAUAGAUGAAUCUGGGGAGAAUUCACAUCUUAACAAUAUUGAGUCUUCUCAUCUUUGAGGAUGGCAUAUCUCUUCAUUAUUUAAGUGAUUUUUAAUUUCACUCAACAACGUUUUGUAAUUUUCAGUGUACGGGUCUUGCAUCUUAAAUAUCUUUUGUCAGAUUUGUUCCUAAGUUUUUCAUAUUUUUGAUGCUAUUAUAACUGGUAUUAUUUUUGUCAAUUUCAAAUUCCAAAUGGUCAUUGCUAGUGUAUAGACAUAGAGUUAAUUUUUGCAUAUUGACUUCAUCCUGCAGCCUUGCUACUUCAUUCUUAUGGUUCACUUAUUAGUUCUAGUGGCUUUUUUGUAAGUUCCUUAGGAUUUUUCACAUCUGUGAAUAGACAGAUUUAUUUCUUCCUUCCUAAUCUAGAUGCCUUUUAUUUCUUUUUCUUGUUGUAUAGUACUGGCUAGCACUUCCAAUACAAUGUUGAAUUAAUAAGUGACAUUUCAUAAAAUUAAAAACUCUUGAUUUUCUUUUUUUUAAAGAUUUUAUUUUUCCUUUUUCUCCCCAAAGCCCCCCAGUACAUAGUUGUGUAGUUUUGGUUGUGGGUCCUUCUAGUUGUGGCAUGUGGGAUGCCGCUUCAGUAUGGUUUGAUGAGCGGCGCCAUGUCCACACCCAGGAUUCGAACUGGUGAAACCCUGGGCCGCCAGAAGUGGAGCAUGCGAACUUAACCACUGGGCCAUGGGGCCAGACCCCACUCUUGAUUUUCAAAUGACAUUGCUAAGAAAAUAAAAGCAAGAGACAAACUGGGAGAAAAUAUUUGCAAAACAUAUAUCCAACAAGGGACUUGCAUCUAGAACAUAAAAAUUCUUAAAAGUCAACAAUAAAAAGUGAAACCACUCAAUUAAAAAAAAGAGCAUAAAAUUUGAAAGACAGUUCACUGAAGAAGAUAAACAGAUGGCAAAUAAAUACAUGAAAUGAUGAUCAACAUUAUCAAUCGUUAGGGAAAUGCAAAUUAAAACUACAGUGAGAUAACAUUACAAAUUCAUUGGAAUGGCUAAAAAUUAAAAAGGUUGACAAUAUCAAGUGAUAAGAAAGUGGAGCAACUGGAACUUUCUGGGUUUUUUAUUUAUUUAUUUUUUGGUGAGGAAGAUUGUCGCUGAGCUAACAUCUAUGCCAGCCUUCCUCUAUUUGGUAUGUGGGAUGCCGCCACAGCGUGGCUUGGUGAGUGGUGUGUAGGUCUGUGCCCGAGAUCCAAACCUCUGACCCCUGGGCUGCCAAAGCAGAGCGUGUGAACUUAACCACUAUGCCACAAGGCUGGCCCCUGGAAUCUUCAUACAGUGUUCAGAAUUGUAAAAUGGUACAACCACUUUUGAAAACAGUUUGGCGGUUUCUAAAAAAGUAAAAUAUGCACCCACCGUAUGACAACAUUGCACUACGCAGUAUCUCCCGAGAGAAAUGAAAGCAUACAUCCAUGCCAAGACUUGAACAUGAAUGUUCAUAGCACAUUUAUUUGUAAUAGCCAGACUGGAAACCACGCAAUGUCCUUCAACAGGGGAUUGGAUAAACAACUUGCCGUGUAUUCAUACAGUGGAAUACUACUCAGUUAUGAAAAGGAACAAACUUGAUACAUGCAACAAAAUGGAGAAAUCUUAAUGCUGUGGAGUGAAGGAAACCAGACAAAGACUGCAUACUGUAUGAUUUCAUUUCUGGAAAAUAUAAACUAAUCUCCUGUGGUGGAAAGAUUAGUGGUUGCCUGGGAGGGGGAGGUCAGGAGAGAAGAAUCAAAAAAGGACAUGGGGAAACUUUUGGGGGUGAUAGAUGUUCAUUAUCUUGAUUGUGGUAAUGGUUUCAUGUGUGUACACAUGUCAAAACUCAUAUUGUACAUUUUUAAUAUGUGCAGUUUAUUGUGUGUCAAUUAUACCACAAUAAAGAUGUAACAAAAAAGUAAACAAGAAAAAAAUUUUUAAGAUUCAUA